rnacentral:miRNA from 1 species
UCACAGCCAGCAUUGAUGAGCC